rnacentral:rRNA from 1 species
UACGUAGGAGGCAAGCGUUGUCCGGAAUUACUGGGCGUAAAGCGCGUGUAGGUGGUGGGACAAGUCUGCUGUGAAAGCCCCGGGCUCAACCUGGGAAUGGCAUUGGAAACUGGCGGACUAGAGUGUGGCAGAGGGGGGUGGAAUUCCGCGUGUAGCAGUGAAAUGCGUAGAGAUGCGGAGGAACACCGAUGGCGAAGGCAGCCCCCUGGGCUAACACUGACGCUCAGGCACGAAAGCGUGGGGAGCAAACAGG